GGCAUGAGCUCGUACUCGGCCAGAAAGUUUUCCGCCCGUGACACGUAUUACACGCCAUUAUCAGCCCCAUGAGCAGGGGCAUUUUCGUCCGAAACCAUAUGAACUCCAAUUUCCUGUAUCCCAAUAUCCCUAAACCUAAACCCUAAUCCCCAAAUUUCCCUAAAUUUCCCAAUAACGCCGACGAAAAUCUCUCAUGCAAUUCAAUCGAAGCCCAAAACCUCUCGAAAUUCGCUCGCCAAAACCCGAGGCUGUCUCAGUUUGAGCUUCGAUCAGCAGGGGAAGGGACGCUCGGAGCAAUGGCCGGGCUACUUAUGCAAGGUGGUGUUGAUCGGCGACCUCCGGCGCCGGCGAAAAUCCAUGCCGCUUCUGCAUGCUGCAAAUUGGGUUGAUUCCUUGGCAGGAAAAUUAUGGAAAAUGGGCUGCUUGCUCAGGAGGUGGUUAAGCAUGGCGACCGGAAAGAAUAAUUCUCCGAGGAGUGCUAUAAGAGCAGACUAAAUAGAAGGCCUUUGGCCUUUUAUUUUCAGCACGAUGCAUGUUAUUGGCUUGCCUGUGAGUUACGUACAAUGGGUUAAAUGCUGCACCUCUUCUUUACAUUUUUCCAUCUCUAUAAAUGGUGGGCUAAAAAGUCAUUUCCCUAGUGCAAAAGCUUUUGAGACAAGGAGAUUUGCUCUCUCUCAUCAUAUCUUUGUGAUGCUUAUUGAAGUUCUCUCUAAGUUGUUGAAUCGGGCUGCAGAGCUUGGGAUGUUGAAAUAUCAUCCUAAGUGCUCCGAAAUUAAGCUAAGCCACUUGUGCUUUGCUGAUGACAUUUUAUAUUGACAUAUGGAAGCCUGGAAGCUAUGCAGGAGAUAUUAUGUAUAUUUCGAGCAUUUUCUUUGAUGUCAGGACUGUACUGAGAUUAAGUCCUGCUAAAACUGAGAUAUAUGCCUUUUGUGUUUCUGAUGAAUUGCUGAGUGAGGUGGUCCUGAGAAGUGGAUUUAAGGUUGGUUCUCUUCCAGUGAAGUGUCUUCCUUUAAUACCUGGUAAGCUCUCAGAAAAGGAUUUCAAGCCGGUCAUUGACCGAAUUUUGAGUAGAAUUAAAAGCUGGAGCUCUAAAGGAUUGUCCUUUGCUUGCAAGUUACAACUUGUUGAUUCUGUCUUAUAUAGCAGUGUUACAUACUAGUGUGGUGUGUUUGCUUUACCAAUAAAGGUUAUUGAGGCCAUAGAGAGUUGCUGUAGUGCCUUUUUGUGGUCUGUUUCUGAAAUGAAGACAAAAAAUGCAAAAGUGAAGUGGCUUGAUGUUGCUUGCCACAGGAGGGAGGUUUGGAAUAAAGCAGAUACACCAAUGUAAUAAAGCUGUCAUGAAGCUAAUAUAGUUGUUGCUUGUGGAUGCUGGUCCUUUGUGGAUUGCUUGGAUGAAAGCUUAUAAUUCAAAAUAGAAGAGCUUUUGGCCAAUUCUUUCCUCUGGUUCUUCCUCUUACAUUUGGAGGAAGCUUCUUAAACUCAGGGCAGAGAUAAAACCCCUUUCAAUAUACUGUUUGUGAUGGUAAAAACAUCUUGUUAUGGUUUGAUCCACCGCAUCCAAUGGGAACAUUACUGGAAAAGUUUUCUGCUAGAUGGUUUGUGAUUCGGGGCUUUCAUUGCAAGCUAAAGUAGGAUAUGUAAUUAAGCAUGGAAACUGGGUAUGGCCAAUUGCAAGUUAGCCUUGAUUCAAUCUGCUCUGUGUUGCAUAUUUUCAUCCAUGGCAGGCUGAUCAGGUGGUUUGGAAGGAAGCUUCUUCAACGAAAUUUUUGGUUAAUAGUGCAUGGAGCAGUAUAAGAACUUGAGCAAGGAAAGUGGCAUGGCCCAAAUUAAUGGCAUUUACUCCUAACAUUUCAAAGCAUAGUUUCAUCUGGUAGCUUACUAUAUUGGAUAAACUCUCAACGAAGGACAGAAUGAUGAGAUGGUUUGCUGGUAUAAAUGACACUAGUGGUUAGAGGAAUGCCUCUCUGAAUCCAGAAAUCAUUUGUUCGUGGAACAUGCUGUUGCUAUGGAGGCUCAAAGCAAAAUUUAUGCUAAGUCUGGAGUUACUUGAGUUGUAUUCGGCUGGGACUUGGAGUAGUAAUGGGCAUGUAGUACUUGGAAAGGCAAAUCCAUCUCAAAUGUGAUCUUUAAAGUGACUUGAUGCGAUGCAACAAAUCCUAUAUGGCUAUACAAGAUUUAAAAAGGUUCAUGGCAGGAGUCUUCUGUUUUCUAGCAUUAUUAUUUUCUCCGAUACUUACCUUGAUGUUUAUGUAGGCUAAGUGAUUUGAAGACUAGUGAAACGUCAUCUCCACAUCAUGUGGAGAUCUGUUGAGCUUGGGGGUUGAUAAAAAGUGAGGCUUGAUACUGCAUUUUGGUUCCUCCUGUAGCAGAUUUACUCUGCUCUGUUUAGUACAUCAGAAAAGAAAAGAAAUUCUAGUGA